CAGCUAGUUGGUAGGGUAAGAGCCUACCAAGGCAUAGAUCGGUAGCCGGCCUGAGAGGGCACACGGCCACACUGGCACUGAAACACGGGCCAGACUCCUACGGGAGGCAGCAGUGGGGAAUCUUGCACAAUGGGGGCAACCCUGAUGCAGCGACGCCGCGUGAGCGAUGAAGCCCUUCGGGGUGUAAAGCUCUUUCGGCAGGGAAGAUUAUGACGGUACCUGCAGAAGCAGCUGCGGCUAACUACGUGCCAGCAGCCGCGGUAAUACGUAGGCAGCGAGCGUUGUUCGGAGUUACUGGGCGUAAAGGGUGUGUAGGCGGUUCUUUAAGUUUGGUGUGAAAUCUCCCGGCUUAACCGGGAGGGUGCGCCGAAUACUGAGGGACUAGAGUGCGGGAGAGGAAAGUGGAAUUCCUGGUGUAGCGGUGAAAUGCGUAGAUAUCAGGAGGAACACCGGUGGUGUAGACGGCUUUCUGGACCGUAACUGACGCUGAGACACGAAAGCGUGGGUAGCAAACAGGAUUAGAUACCCUGGUAGUCCACGCCCUAAACGAUGCAUAUUUGGUGUGGGUCAUUCAUUUGAUCCGUGCCGGAGCUAACGCGUUAAAUAUGCCGCCUGGGGAGUACAG
rnacentral:rRNA from 1 species